UAGCUCAGCCGAUGGUAGG
rnacentral:misc_RNA from 1 species